AUUGAACGCUGGCGGAAUGCUUUACACAUGCAAGUCGAACGGCAGCACGGGGCAACCUGGUGGCGAGUGGCGAACGGGUGAGUAAUACAUCGGAACGUGCCCAAUCGUGGGGGAUAACGUAGCGAAAGUUACGCUAAUACCGCAUACGAUCUACGGAUGAAAGCGGGGGAUCGCAAGACCUCGCGCGAAUGGAGCGGCCGAUGUCAGAUUAGGUAGUUGGUGGGGUAAAGGCUCACCAAGCCAACGAUCUGUAGCUGGUCUGAGAGGACGACCAGCCACACUGGAACUGAGACACGGUCCAGACUCCUACGGGAGGCAGCAGUGGGGAAUUUGGACAAUGGGCGCAAGCCUGAUCCAGCCAUUCCGCGUGCAGGAUGAAGGCCUUCGGGUUGUAAACUGCUUUUGUACGGAACGAAAAGGUCCUGGUUAAUACCUGGGGCUCAUGACGGUACCGUAAGAAUAAGCACCGGCUAACUACGUGCCAGCCGCCGCGGUAAAACCACAU
rnacentral:rRNA from 1 species